AUUGAACGCUGGCGGCAUGCCUUACACAUGCAAGUCGAACGGCAGCGGGGGAGAAGCUUGCUUUUCCUGCCGGCGAGUGGCGAACGGGUGAGUAAUACAUCGGAACGUGCCCUGUAGUGGGGGAUAACUAGUCGAAAGAUUAGCUAAUACCGCAUACGACCUGAGGGUGAAAGUGGGGGACCGCAAGGCCUCAUGCUAUAGGAGCGGCCGAUGUCUGAUUAGCUAGUUGGUGGGGUAAAGGCCUACCAAGGCGACGAUCAGUAGCUGGUCUGAGAGGACGAUCAGCCACACUGGGACUGAGACACGGCCCAGACUCCUACGGGAGGCAGCAGUGGGGAAUUUUGGACAAUGGGCGAAAGCCUGAUCCAGCAAUGCCGCGUGCGUGAAGAAGGCCUUCGGGUUGUAAAGCACUUUUGUCCGGAAAGAAAUGCCUCUGGUUAAUACCUGGGGUCGAUGACGGUACCGGAAGAAUAAGGACCGGCUAACUACGUGCCAGCCGCCGCAGUAA
rnacentral:rRNA from 1 species